rnacentral:rRNA from 1 species
GACGAACGCUGGCGGCGUGCUUAACACAUGCAAGUCGAACGGUGAAGCGCCUUCCUUUUUGGUGGGUGUGGAUGAGUGGCGAACGGGUGAGUAACACGUUAGUAACCUGCCCCCUUCUUCUGGAUAACCGCAUGAAAGUGUGGCUAAUACGGGAGAGUCUGGGUCUGUCGCAUGAUGGGUCUGGGAAAGAUAUUGUUUCGGUGGGGGAUGGGCUCGCGGCCUAUCAGCUUGUUGGUGGGGUGAUGGCCUACCAAGGCGGUGCCGGGUAGCCGGCCUGAGAGGGUGGACGGUACCAGUGGGGAGGAGAGGCGGACCAGACUCCUACGGGCGGCAGCGGUGGGGAAUAUUGCACAAUGGGAGCAAGCAUGCUGCCGCGACGCCGCGUGAGGGAUGGAGGCCUUCGGGUUGUGAACCUCUUUCGCGAGUGAAGCAGGCCUGCCUAGUUUGUGGGUGGGUUGACGGUAGCUGGAGAAGAAGCGCCGGCUAACUACGUG